rnacentral:lncRNA from 1 species
CAGAAGCCUAUCUUUUAUAUUAAAUGAAUCUAUAGGUGACAGUGAAGCCUUGUAGCAGCUAUAUGGAAGUGUAGUUUAUACUUCCGUUAGCUUUAGUCAAGUUUCAUUUCUUUAUCACAGAUGUUUUUCUUUAUAAGUAUUAAGUAUGCUUUUAAAAAAGAAGUGGUAUUCUUAAAUAGAAAAAUAAGCUUAAAUAACCUGUCAUUAACAUUUGUUGAAAUCUAACCCUCCAGGUGAGGAAAUAAAACAGUUUUUUUAAUCAAAGCCAAUAGAAGAUAAUUAAGGUCACUAAUUUUAAUAUAUAUAAAUUAUUUUUAAUGAACCUAACAGUUUGAGAUGCAUAGAGCUUUUUUUUUUCUUUUUUUUUUUUUUUUUUUUUUUGCCUUUUUCUAGGGCCGCUCCCCAUGGGAACUUCCAUAUGCUGCACAUGCAGCCCUAAGAAGCAACAAAUAAAUAAUUAAAUUAAAUGUCUGCUAAAAAUGAAAAUUGAACAUCUUAAUGAAAAAAUUUGUCUAGAUAAGAAUAAAUAUCUAAAAUGUAAUAUUGAUGACUUAAUCUGCCUGUAUUUUUCCUUAUGCAGAUAUUAAUAGAAUUUAAUAUCACUUACAGUAUAAUAAUAAAGUGAUAGAAUUUUAGGUCUCCUGGAAAGGAUGCUUAUAGAUCCUUCAAACUGGUGAUCGUAUUUUAAGCGCUACAGCACCUGGCUGGUUAGUGGCAAAGCAAGUUUUUUUUUUUUUUUUAAUUAAUUAAUUAAUUUAUUUUAUUUUAUUUAUUUUUUCAGCAUGAGGACCAAGUUACACUUACAUAUAUUCAUUUUUUUUCCUCCCUUUGUUCCGCUGCGAUACAAAGCGAGUUUUAGAAUGCACAUCUCUAAGCCCAGAAUGUAGUUCUCACUCAGUGCUACCUCUGAUUCUGGUGUAUAAUAUCCACUAACCAUUUUAUAUGAUACAAAGUCAAGCUGCAUUACUAAUAUCGAGGAGACUUGGCUCAUUUUUUUCAUGAAUAUUUAUAAAAGACAUUAUUGUGUAUUUAUUAUUGUGACGGUCACAACUCUGGAAAUGGUGUCAGGGAAGAAACAUGAUCUCAUGACAUUUGAGUGGGAAACCUCAAUAUUUACAUACACCUUCCCAGAGCCAAACAAAAUGUGUUCCUAUCAAAAAGCGGUUAGCUAAGAAAUAGUGUUUCCAAAAGAUUACACACAUAUCAGAGGAUUUGGAGUGUAAUAGUAAAGAAAUAAGAUUUAUUUUUUAUUAAGACCUAUGCUCUUGGAGUUCCCGUUGUGGCUCAGCGGAAACCGAUCUAACAUCCAUGAAGACGCAGGUUCGAUCCCUGGCCUUCCUCAGUGGGUUAAGGAUCUGGUGUUGCCGUGAGCUGUGGUGUAGGUCGCAGAUGCAGCUCAGAUCUGGCAUUGCUGUGGCUGUGGUGUAGGGCGGCAGCUAAAGCUCCA